CCCCACUCGGCCCAUGGUAUUUGCCCCCACUGCCUGGCUACUUCUCUACGGAUCUGUUAUAUAAAGCCCAGCCCAUCUUCUCUCGUGUGGAAAAAGGACAGCACUGGAGGAGCCCAUCUUAGAGAGAUUGAGACACGAGGCAAUGCAUACGAGCAAGCUAGAAGCGUACGCGUUCGUCAAACAAAAAGAAAACUGUAUCGUUCGUCCGUCGGUUGGCUUCUCGCACGACCGCCAAAGCGAAACGAAGCUGCCGCCGACGCCCAACUAUCAGCCUUGAUCUGCAGUUCUGCACGUACACGCCGAGUCGCCGAUCGGCCGGCUGGCCCGGGUUGCCGUCCCUAAGGAGAAAAACUGAAAAAGACGCGCGCCACUCAUCAGCCCUAGGAAAGCUAAUGAAGAGAUAUUUUGCAAAAUCCACAACUGGUAGUAUGCCUGAAAUAGUUGAUCUGGACAAGCUUACUCGGUAUCCAUCUAAAAGGAAGAGACUUAUAGAUUAUAAUAUCAAUCAGCAUGAGGAGAUUAGGAGAAAGUACCUGACAUGGGGGGCUUAUCAACCUUGUCCAGCCAAGUUUAAACCCAGGUGGAUUGGUAAGAGUAAGCGGUAUUUCAAUCCUGAAUGGUAUGAUCUCCCUAUGUUUGAAAAUGAUUUUUUUUAUGCAGCCUGAAGGCUAGAAAUCAAGGACAUAGCAACAAAAAGGGAUGGCAUACCCAUAUUUCUCAAGUUAUUCUGUCUUAAGAGGUUAAUUUACUUUUAUUUUGGCACUGAACAUGUCAUAGUUAUGUGUGUGAUGACAU
rnacentral:rRNA from 1 species